rnacentral:rRNA from 1 species
UACGGAGGGUGCGAGCGUUGUCCGGAAUCACUGGGCGUAAAGGGCGCGUAGGUGGCGCAGGAAGUCAACGGUGAAAGUUCGGGGCUCAACCCUGAAUCGGCCGUCGAUACUCCUGGGCUCGAGCACUGUAGAGGCAGAUGGAAUUCCGGGUGUAGCGGUGGAAUGCGUAGAGAUCCGGAAGAACACCGGGUGGCGAAGGCGGGUCUGCU